rnacentral:lncRNA from 1 species
CCAAAUUAAACUUUUGACCCCAAUUUCACGGUCCACUGAACAUAGAAAAUGAAAGUGCAUGUUUCAGGUUAAAGUUUUUGGUCAAGGUAGUUUUUGAUGAAGUUGAAGUCCAAUCAACUUGAAACUUAGUACACAUGUUCCUUAUGAUAUGAUCUUUCUAAUUUUAAAGCCAAAUUAAACUUUGACCCCAAUUUCACGGUCCACUGAACAUAAAAAAUGAAAGUGCAUGUUUCAGGUUAAAGUUUUUGGUCAAGGUAGUUUUUGAUGAAGUUGAAGUCCAAUCAACUUGAAACUUAGUACACAUGUUCC